GGCUUCGUGGCGCAACGGUUUAGCGCGUCUGACUCCAGAUCAGAAGGUUGCGUGUUCGAAUCACGUCGAGGUCA